GAAAAACUCACUUUAGAAUUCUCCAUUCAAAUAUAAUUUAAGAUUUUGAAAACCCAUGUCUACAGAUGAGUCCUGUUCUCUGCUAAGUUAUUCUGUGAAUAGCUAGACUUGUUUUGCAAACUGUGUGCUUCUACUUGCUUAUCUCAUGUCCUAUCAAAAGGGAGCUUGUGGGAACUGUUAGUGUUCAUGUUUUGCCUUUUCAGACUUUGAUCUGGUGGAGGAAUUCUUCUGGUGGUGAACACCACAAAAGAAAGCACCUGUCUUUCUUAAGAGGUAGAGAGCAGGCCUUCAGGCUUGCAAGGGCAGCUCAUCGUAGAAGGCAGCAGCCUUAACUGGAGUGAGGAUGGAAGACACUGGAGGGGAAGAAAACAGCUCUGGAGGAGAAACAGACUUACUUUCCUUACCCAAGUGGAGGAGGUGUGUGAGGAAAAGAUGCAGGGGUGGAUGGCAGGGUCCAGGCAAGAAAGGAAGCCCAGAGGUAAAGCUAUUGCAGAGGCUGUUGGUGACACUGGUGCUUUGACGGGCUGAGCAAGUCCCUGGCCCUCUGUGAGCUGGGGCAAAGCUUACAUGUGACUGUUUUCACAGCACAAUGCCCAGUAAGUUUUGCUCAGUGGGGUUUUCUGUUCAGAAACCUCCUUUCAAAUUGCUGUUAGCUCCUGGGCUGACCAGGUGCCAGUGGUGUGGUGGAGGAGGCCCCACCUGGAACUCUGGUGUGGAAGGAGGAGACUGUGUUUUCAGUUUCUGGGACUUGAUGGUUUUCUGAGAACAUGGUGUCAUCAAAUCCUCUUUAGAGGUUUUCACACGACCUUUCUGAGGGCAUGAUUUGAACUAAACACAAGACUCAAACUAAUUGGACUGUUUUAAAGUGAUUGGUCUGCAGUAUCUCUGAGGUUUAUCUGGCGGUUAUGUUGUUCGUGCAACAUGGCUGGUGAGCAACUGCUUCAAGUCCUGAGAGAUGGGAGAGAGACUGCGCCUUUCCAGAGGCUGCAGGAUGAGUUCAGACCACCCAGACACUGGAGCACACAGAGAAUAAAAAUAUUUAGGGCAGAUUUUGACAUGGUAAACCAUGUUCAAGCAUCACAAUCUUGCUUAUGUUUAUACUGCCCAAAGACUUCGAUUCUAUUCCAUUUCCCCCCAUUUCCU
rnacentral:lncRNA from 1 species